rnacentral:rRNA from 1 species
GCAGUCGAGCGAGCGGUUUCAUGAAGUUUUCGGAUGGAAUUGAAGUUGACUUAGCGGCGGACGGGUGAGUAACGCGUGGGUAACCUGCCUUACACUGGGGGAUAACAGUUAGAAAUGACUGCUAAUACCGCAUAAGCGCACAGGGCCGCAUGGUCUGGUGUGAAAAACUCCGGUGGUGUAAGAUGGACCCGCGUCUGAUUAGGUAGUUGGUGGGGUAACGGCCCACCAAGCCGACGAUCAGUAGCCGACCUGAGAGGGUGGCCGGCCACAUUGGGACUGAGACACGGCCCAAACUCCUACGGGAGGCAGCAGUGGGGAAUAUUGGACAAUGGGCGAAAGCCUGAUCCAGCGACGCCGCGUGAGUGAAGAAGUAUUUCGGUAUGUAAAGCUCUAUCAGCAGGGAAGAAAAUGACGGUACCUGACUAAGAAGCCCCGGCUAACUACGUGCCAGCAGCCGCGGUAAUACGUAGGGGGCAAGCGUUAUCCGGAUUUACUGGGUGUAAAGGGAGCGUAGACGGUUAAGCAAGUCUGAAGUGAAAGCCCGGGGCUCAACCCCGGUACUGCUUUGGAAACUGUUUGACUUGAGUGCAGGAGAGGUAAGUGGAAUUCCUAGUGUAGCGGUGAAAUGCGUAGAUAUUAGGAGGAACACCAGUGGCGAAGGCGGCUUACUGGACUGUA